CGUUCGCCUCGAGAGCGGGAGGUCAUUAAAUUUGUUCGAAUCCUGAACGGGUCAAACAAAGACGUUAAUUAAAUUGGUAUUCUAUUUCAACGCUUAACACGUGGCAUCAUAAAGUAAGAGCACAGACUGGCCGGCUCAGCGUCGGAAAUGUGUCCUGGUCGGGUGACUUUUCUUCCUGCGAACUAAUAUCUUGUGAACUUACACGAUAAAAAAAGACUCAGCUUGUCAGUCUAGUAAAAAACGGGGUUAAUGCUCUUAUUAUAUUUCACGUAAUCGUCCUGAAUAUUAAUUUUAUUCGCCGC
rnacentral:lncRNA from 1 species